rnacentral:rRNA from 1 species
GAUGAACGCUGGCGGCGUGCCUAAUACAUGCAAGUCGAGCGAACGGACGAUAAGCUUGCUUCUCUGAUGUUAGCGGCGGACGGGUGAGUAACACGUGUAUAACCUACCUAUAAGACUGGGAUAACUUCGGGAAACCGGAGCUAAUACCGGAUAAUAUUUUGAACCGCAUGGUUCAAAAGUGAAAGACGGUCUUGCUGUCACUUAUAGAUGGAUCCGCGCUGCAUUAGCUAGUUGGUAAGGUAACGGCUUACCAAGGCAACGAUGCAUAGCCGACCUGAGAGGGUGAUCGGCCACACUGGAACUGAGACACGGUCCAUACUCCUACGGGAGGCAGCAGUAGGGAAUCUUCCGCAAUGGGCGAAAGCCUGACGGAGCAACGCCGCGUGAGUGAUGAAGGUCUUCGGAUCGUAAAACUCUGUUAUUAGGGAAGAACAUAUGUGUAAGUAACUGUGCACAUCUUGACGGUACCUAAUCAGAAAGCCACGGCUAACUACGUG